UCGCCGGAUUCUGGAAAUUUUCCGGCCACCUCGACUGUUUUAGGUGAUUGACGGAUCGAUUUGGCGGACAAUUUGUGAAAUUGUUGUUGAGCUGUUAAGAAGACGCAGCUGGAUUAGAGCGGGUAAUCCUACAGGUCAAGAGAAUCAGGACGGAGAUCGAGCUGCGUAGAGUAGCUGCAAUUGUGUCAAUCUGAAUUGCUUUGUGAGCCGGUGAGGUGUGUUAUGCUCAUUUAGAGCUUUACAAUAUUUCUUGUGAGAGUGAAUUGUAAUAAUGAACUCGAGGUUUCGAGAUUUGAAGUUUGUGUAUCGUGUGGUGAGGUUGUUUUGAGAAAAAAAUU